UACGGGGGGGGGCAAGCGUUGUUCGGAAUUACUGGGCGUAAAGGGCUCGUAGGUGGCCAACUAAGUCAGACGUGAAAUCCCUCGGCUUAACCGGGGAACUGCGUCUGAUACUGGAUGGCUUGAGUUCGGGAGAGGGAUGCGGAAUUCCAGGUGUAGCGGUGAAAUGCGUAGAUAUCUGGAGGAACACCGGUGGCGAAGGCGGCAUCCUGGACCGACACUGACGCUGAGGAGCGAAAGCGUGGGGGAGCAAACAGG
rnacentral:rRNA from 1 species